GACGAACGCUGGCGGCGUGCCUAAUACAUGCAAGUCGAACGAGAGCAACCGGUGCUUGCACUGGUCAAUCUAGUGGCGAACGGGUGAGUAACACGUGGGUAACCUGCCCAUCAGAGGGGGAUAACAUCCGGACACGGAUGCUAAAACCGCAUAGGUCUUCGAACCGCAUGGUUUGAAGAGGAAAAGAGGCGCAAGCUUCUGCUGAUGGAUGGUCCCGCGGUGCAUUAGCUAGUUGGUGAGGUAACGGCUCACCAAGGCCGUGAUGCAGAGCCGAACUGAGAGGGUGAUCGGCAACAUUGGGACUGAGACACGGCCCAAACUCCUACGGGAGGCAGCAGUAGGGAAUCUUCCGCAAUGGACGCAAGUCUGACGGAGCAGCGCCGAGUGAGUGAAGAAGGUUUUCGGAUCGUAAAACUCUGUUGUUAGAGAAGAACAAGUGCUAGAGUAACUGUUAGCGCCUUGACGGUAUCUAACCAGAAAGCAACGGCUAACUACGUG
rnacentral:rRNA from 1 species